UACGUAGGGUGCAGGCGUUAAUCGGAAUUACUGGGCGUAAAGCGUGCGCAGGCGGUUUCUUAAGUCAGAUGUGAAAGCCCUGGGCUCAACCUGGGAAUUGCAUUGGAUACUGGCAGGCUAGAGUGCGGUAGAGGAUGGCGGAAUUCCCGGUGUAGCAGUGAAAUGCGUAGAGAUCGGGAGGAACAUCUGUGGCGAAGGCGGCCAUCUGGACCAGCACUGACACUGAGGCACGAAAGCGUGGGGAGCAAACAGG
rnacentral:rRNA from 1 species